UUGAAAUUGCUAGCACUCACUUAAUUGGCAUUGUAUUCACAAAAUUCAAUCCAUAAGCCAUAAGAAUAAAAGAUGAGGUCAAAUGCUAUAUUUUUCUAUACAACUUCAACAGAGAGGUUUAGACUUGGCACUUUUGCAAAACCCAAUUAAUGGGAUUCAACCCUUAAUAUUUCCAAAAUCACUCAAAAUACCAAAUCCCAAAUAUCACACUCCAAACUACCGUUGAUAAUUCCCCCUCAUUUACACUUUAUUAUUCCAUUGGUAUAGAGUCAAAGAGGGAAGAGAGCUAAGGCAAGGAAAGCAGUUUUUGAUAUUUCAU
rnacentral:lncRNA from 1 species